UACGUAGGGUGCGAGCGUUGUCCGGAAUUACUGGGCGUAAAGAGCUCGUAGGUGGUUUGUCGCGUUGUCCGUGAAAACUCACAACUCAAUUGUGGGCGUGCGGGCGAUACGGGCAGACUGGAGUACUGCAGGGGAGACUGGAAUUCCCGGUGUAGCGGUGGAAUGCGCAGAUAUCAGGAGGAACACCGGUGGCGAAGGCGGGUCUCUGGGCAGUAACUGACGCUGAGGAGCGAAAGCGUGGGGAGCGAACAGG
rnacentral:rRNA from 1 species